GUGGGGAAUUUUGGACAAUGGGCGCAAGCCUGAUCCAGCAAUGCCGCGUGCAGGAAGAAGGCCUUCGGGUUGUAAACUGCUUUUGUACGGAACGAAACGGUCCGGGUUAAUACCCUGGGCUAAUGACGGUACCGUAAGAAUAAGCACCGGCUAACUACGUGCCAGCAGCCGCGGUAAUACGUAGGGUGCAAGCGUUAAUCGGAAUUACUGGGCGUAAAGCGUGCGCAGGCGGUUUUGUAAGACAGGCGUGAAAUCCCCGGGCUCAACCUGGGAAUUGCGCUUGUGACUGCAAGGCUGGAGUGCGGCAGAGGGGGAUGGAAUUCCGCGUGUAGCAGUGAAAUGCGUAGAUAUGCGGAGGAACACCGAUGGCGAAGGCAAUCCCCUGGGCCUACACUGACGCUCAUGCACGAAAGCGUGGGGAGCAAACAGGAUUAGAUACCCCUGUAGUCC
rnacentral:rRNA from 1 species